CCCCGCCCACGGGCCCGGCCCCCGGGAGCUCUUGAAUGUCUUCUGUGGCCACUUCAGAGCUGGAUAACAUCUACUGAGAACAUAGAAGACUUACUUUCAUCAUCUGAAUCAAAUCCAAAGAGUGUCUGACAUUUCUUUUGUGCAAGAUGAGUCUUUCUCCUGAUGAAUAGAAUUUGAAUCUGUAUGAACAUCCAAAAGAACUGCUUCACUUGGUUGUGCAGACGAUUCUG